AGGACGAACGCUGGCGGCGUGCUUAACACAUGCAAGUCGAGCGGAAAGGCCCUUCGGGGUACUCGAGCGGCGAACGGGUGAGUAACACGUGAGCAACCUGCCCCUGGCUCUGGGAUAGCCUCCGGAAACGGGGAUUAAUACCGGACAUGACCCUUGACCGCAUGGUUGGGGGUGGAAAGUUUUUCGGCCAGGGUGGGGCUCGCGGCCUAUCAGCUUGGUUGGGGGGUAAAGGCCUACCAAGGCGACGACGGGUAGCC
rnacentral:rRNA from 1 species